UGAGUCUCCUUGAAAGUAAUGGCAUGUGAUUGCUUACCCCAUUACUUUCAAUGGGACUAAGU
ensembl:miRNA